rnacentral:rRNA from 1 species
AGCGAACGCUGGCGGCAGGCUUAACACAUGCAAGUCGAGCGGGCAUAGCAAUAUGUCAGCGGCAGACGGGUGAGUAACGCGUGGGAACGUACCUUUUGGUUCGGAACAACACAGGGAAACUUGUGCUAAUACCGGAUAAGCCCUUACGGGGAAAGAUUUAUCGCCGAAAGAUCGGCCCGCGUCUGAUUUAGCUAGUUGGUGAGGUAAUGGCUCACCAAGGCGACGAGCAGUAGCUGGUCUGAGAGGAUGAUCAGCCACAUUGGGACUGAGACACGGCCCAAGCUCCUAGGGGAGGCAGCAGUGGGGAAUAUUGGACAAUGGGCGCAAGCUUGAUCCAGCCAUGCCGCGUGAGUGAUGAAGGCCCUAGGGUUGUAAAGCUCUUUUGUGCGGGAAGAUAAUGACGGUACCGCAAGAAUAAGCCCCGGCUAACUUCGUGCCAGCCGCCGCCGUAA